CCUACGGGAGGCAGCAGUGAGGAAUAUUGGUCAAUGGACGAGAGUCUGAACCAGCCAAGUAGCGUGAAGGAUGACUGCCCUAUGGGUUGUAAACUUCUUUUAUAAAGGAAUAAAACGAGGCACGUGUGCCUUUUUGCAUGUACUUUAUGAAUAAGGAUCGGCUAACUCCGUGCCAGCAGCCGCGGUAAUACGGAGGCUCCGAGCGUUAUCCGGAUGUAUUGGGUUUAAAGGGAGCGUAGAUGGGUUGUUAAGUCAGUUGUGAAAGUUUGCGGCUCAACCGGAAAAUUGCAAUUGAUACUGGCAGUCUUGAGUACAGUUGAGGUAGGCGGAAUUCGUGGUGUAGCGGUGAAAUGCUUAGAUAUCACGAAGAACCCCGAUUGCGAAGGCAGCUUACUAAACUGUGACUGACAUUGAUGCUCGAAAGUGUGGGUAUCAAACAGGAUUAGAUACCCUUGUAGUC
rnacentral:rRNA from 1 species